rnacentral:RNase_P_RNA from 1 species
GUGGUAAAUUGUCUUAUCGCUGUUUCAUUUAUGAAAUGGAGGAAAGUCCGAACACCCUAGUGCAUCGUAGUGGUUAACAGCCAUCGACCGAGAGGUUAGGAAAAGUGCAACAGAAAGUAUGUACAGGUAAUGCUGUAGUGAAAUCAGGUAAACUCUAUGUGGUGCAAUGUCAUGUAAACCAACGUUUGAGGGUUGCACGCCCAAUGUUGGAGGGUAGACAGCUAAAGUCUAUUGGUGACGAUAGACUCAGAUAAAUGAUAAGAACUCUUUGGAGUACAGAAUUCGGCUUAUAGAUUUACCUAUUAA